GCCUGGGUAGUGUAAUGGAUCAAUACGGUAGACUGGAUAUCUAUGAGUGCGGGUUUGAGUCUCACCUUAGGUU
rnacentral:tRNA from 1 species